UUCAAAAAAAUAGCUACAUCUUGUAUAAGUCCAGGAAUAUGGCUUGGACGUUUCUACCAGCUACCAUAAAUAGCUUGUCUACAAGGGAUGGAAAUGUAUUU
rfam:Oceanobacillus picturae, S1, WGS project CCAX01000000 data, contig: 000001